rnacentral:lncRNA from 1 species
CAGUAACUGGCAUUUGGUUAUGGGGUGGCUGUUUUUCUACGUGGACCAAGCAGGGUCCCAGUUCAAGUUUCUGCUGCCUAUCUGAUAAUCUUGAGGUAUUUAUGAAGGACUCCUUUGAAAGUUCUCUACUGAGUUUCCUUAAGGAAUUGGAAUAUAUUUAAUGACCUCCACCAUCUCUAAGAACAAGCAGCUAUUUCUGUAGAGAAAGAUCAUCUUUGGAUAACAAUACAUGAUUUUAGGCUCUAAAAGUUAAAACGUGUUUGUAACGUUGAUAUUAUGCAGAGGUCUUGACAGAACUUGGCAGUCUCUGAGGCUACAGAGAAGUGUGAAAAAGAGCAUAGAGAUUUCAGAAGGAGGCAGAUUCAGUCAGACGUACUGAAUCCCGUUUGAUCUCAACUCAGGCACACUCCAGAUGGACGGAGCAGGAAAACCCUUAGUGAAACCUGCCUCUGCAGGUUGAUGGCUUGGGAGGAAAGGCAUUAUGGAAAAUGAUUAGAUGUGAGAAUCACAGCAAAGGAAGAAUGGGCAUGAAUAGUAAAUGGUAAAUGUGGGGAUGCAGUAUUGAACAGCACACUGGAGUUUUUGUCCAGAAGUUUGACUUUAGAAGAUAAGAAAUAACUGAGCGUAUUACAAGCAGGAGUUAGAGGAAGAGACUCAGUACAGAAGAGACAGGAACAAAAGUUCACCUCCAUUCAAUGGGAAAGGAUACAGAUCAAGAGUUCAGGAAAAGUAGGAGAAAGAAGCUCUAUUCCAGAAGCAGUCUGGAGCACAAAGAAUCCCUAAUCACUGACAUUAAGAAAGAAGAAAAAUAUUCCUAGGACGAUCCUGGAGAGCAAAGGU